ACUUGUAUGUAUCCAGGAUUAUUCAAAAAGCUGAAAUUGGGCUUGAUGAGGAAGGUACAGUGGCCAGCGCAGCAGGAGGUUCCGUUUUCCUCAACAGAAGUCCACCACCACGUUUCUUAGCUAACAGGCCAUUUUUAUAUUUCAUAAUUCACAAAGUGAGUGGAACUGUUGUGUUUUCAGGCAGAGUUAGUAAUCCUAAUGCACUUGGUUAAGCAGAUCUGUGUUAAAUUAUAUGAAUAAAUUAUU